GCCCGUCCGGGAGGCAGGCGGGCGGCCGGCCGGGGCGGGGCGGAAGGAGAGGGCGAGCCGAGCCACUGCCCAGAGGCCGCGCCGCCCAGGCACAAACAUUGCCUUAUGUGGUGGCUCCGAGGGCCAGGGCGGCGCCCGGGGGGCUGCCGAGGACGGCCGGACACGCCCCGGGUGAUCGCAGCUCUCGGGAUCUCGGCCUCGUCCGGUGGACUAGACAGAGAGGAAAGGCCCCCUGCCCUGUUCUUUUUUCCGCUGGAGCACGUCCCACGUUCCCCUAGGAGGAAGUGGUCACUGCUACUCGGCUGGACCCUCUCUCUCCCCAGCUUCCCCUGCGUUUGUGGGAAAGUGUCCCUGAGGGCUGAGGUUCAGGCAGAGACCUCGGGCCUGGGCGCUGGUGGUGUGGACUGCCUGCCCCCCUGGAGCAGGGACCACCUUGGCGCCUCCCAGGUGGGCUUCAGGCUCUCGCCCUCCAGGAGGGCUUGACACCAAAACAUGGAGAAGGAGCUGCCUUCCCACUGCAAGGGCAGGACUCCAGGGUCCCCGCACUGGGGGCACAGGGACAGUGACCUGUGCAAGCACCCCAGCUUCCCAGAGCCUGAUGAGUGCACCCUUGUCUCUGACACCUCCCAGGCCAGGUUCUGGGACGUCUGCUCUGACUCCCUGAAUGAUCCUGGAUUCUGGGGCCAGUAUCUCACUUCUCCGGUACUGCAGCCUUUGAUAUCUGACAAGGCAAUGUAAUUUGAGGCUGCAUUUGAGAGAGAAUCCUCAUCCAGCCAGGGAGGCAUUUGCCUGCUCUGCGCCCUUCCCACCAGGCUGCGCGGGCACCAGCUUCCUGUGACUCCCAUCCCUCCUCCGACAGCCCCUUGAUCCCUGGCUCCCUGGGCUCUGUUCAGGAGUCUCGGGGCACUCAUGCCCAAGCUGCCUUCCCCAGCUAUUGUCCUAACUACCCAACACUGGGAAAAUCAUCUCCAGCCCUGUGCUGGCUCAGUGGGACCGGGCAGGAUCCAAGCGCCCCAGUUAGAGGAACAUUCUUCUGUGGGACAUUAGGUUCCAGGAGCUAAAGAAUCCUGUCAGUAGGAUGGCAAUGGCUGUCCUUUCCCAAGGCACUGAAACAGUACAUCAGUGGAUAGACUGUCCAGUUUUAAGACUCUCCUUUCACACCGGGGAGAGAUCCCUAUGGAAUCUGAAGAAGGGAGAUGGGGAAAUGGAUACUCAAAAGCACGAGACACUCUGUAAUCCGUAUGCGGAUGAAAAGGCCAAGUCUUAGAUUAGAAGGGAUUUUAGUAGUCUCCUCAUUCACCCCAAAUACCUGAAGCAGAAAUCUCUUCUACUGAAUUCCUGGAUUGCUUCCAGUGGCAGGAAACUCACUACUUCAGUGUGUUUUGGUUUUUUAAAAAUUAAUUAAUUAAUUAA